GAUGAAGAACGCAGUGAAAUGCGAUAAGUAAUGUGAAUUGCAGAAUUCAGUGAAUCAUCGAAUCUUUGAACGCACCUUGCACCCUUUGGCAUUCCGAAGGGUAUGCUCGUUUGAGUGUCAUUGUACUCUCACACUCCCAAUUGCUUUGGAUUGGGAGCGGUGGACUUGGGUGUUGCUGCUUGACUGAGGCUCACCUGAAAUAUGUUAGUGCACCUCUUGAUUGGACAUAGUACGGCGUGAUAAGUGUCUUCGCCGGCUCCUCGCAAAGAGGGUGGCCGAUCGGGAGCUCUGUUGCUUCAAACUGUCUUCGGACAAUCUUCUGGCGACUUGACCUCAAAUCGAGUAGGACUACCCGCUGAACUUAAGCAUAUCAAUAAGCGGAGGA
rnacentral:misc_RNA from 1 species